AACGAACGCUGGCGGCAGGCUUAACACAUGCAAGUCGAACGAUGUAGCAAUACAUAGUGGCGCACGGGUGAGUAACGCGUGGGAAUAUACCCUAUAGUGGGGAAUAACUUUGGGAAACUAAAGCUAAUACCGCAUACGCCCGAGAGGGGGAAGAUUUAUCGCUAUAAGAUUAGCCCGCGUGAGAUUAGGUAGUUGGUGGGGUAAUGGCCUACCAAGCCUACGAUCUCUAGCUGGUCUGAGAGGAUGAUCAGCCACACUGGAACUGAGACACGGUCCAGACUCCUACGGGAAGCAGCAGUGGGGAAUAUUGGGCAAUGGAGGAAACUCUGACCCAGCCAUGCCGCGUGAAUGAUGAAGGCCUUAGGGUUGUAAAGUUCUUUCGCCGAUGAAGAUAAUGACGGUAGUCGGAGAAGAAGCCCCGGCUAACUUCGUGCCAGCCGCCGCAGUAA
rnacentral:rRNA from 1 species